AUUGAACGCUGGCGGCAGGCCUAACACAUGCAAGUCGAGCGAGCGGCGGACGGGUGAGUAAUGUAUGGGGACUGCCCGAUAGAGGGGGAUAACUACUGGAAACGGUAGCUAAUACCGCAUACUAUCGGAUAACCCAUAUGGGAUUAGCUAGUAUGUGAGGUAAUGGCUCACCUAGGCGACGAUCCCUAGCUGGUCUGAGAGGAUGAUCCGCGAAAAUGGGACAGAGACACGGCCCAGAGUCCUACGGAGGCAGCAGUGGGGAACAGUGCAGAAUGGGCGCAAGCCUGAUGCAGCCAUGCCGCGUGUAUGAAGAAGGCCCUAGGGUUGUAAAGUACUUUCAGUCGAGAGGCGUUACCGACAGAAGAAGCACCGGCUAACUCCGUGCAGGCCGCCGCGGUAAUAA
rnacentral:rRNA from 1 species